rnacentral:lncRNA from 1 species
CAACAUGAUGAGACUUUAAAAAAUUAUCCUGAUUUCAUCACCUUGGUAUAAUCUUUAAAGUUUUAAAUCAAAUUCCAAGUUAAUAAAUGUGUUAAAGAUUUUUUUUAGCUAAAUAAUUUAGGAAAGUGGUUAGAAUAAAUAAAAUAGUUUCUAAAUGCUAUUUUUGCUCCUUCAGAGAACUGUAUGUAAUAAUUUGAUAAUUUAGACUUAAUUUAUUAUUUUCCAGUGGGAACAUUACAUUUGUUUGUUUCUAUAUGCCUGGUCUGAUAGUAUGCAGAGAGGCCAGAGGCCCUGUAAAGGGAACAUUUCUGGAAACAUUCUCUGUUGUAUGUGGAAAAACCCUGCCUCAGGAUAAAAUUCUUGCCAAAUUGUCAUAAUCUUGGGUUCUAAUUGAAUACUAUCUUAUUUUAUAUCACAGCCAUCUUUCUUCACAUUGGGUUUCAUAGUCUUAAGUAAAAUAUUUGAGGAUCUCCUUGAAAGAUGAAUUAAGUAUUUCAUAAUCUAAAACAAAGUUGUAGUCUUGUAAAGCAAGUAUACCCCAGUAAAAUUUUUUAAAAAAGAAAAAAAAGAGGGCUGCCUUGUCAUGUUACGUAGUUGAAAGUCAAUAAAUAAUUAUAUGAAUCUAAAAAAAUAAAGUAACAUGUUUUUGCUUAUAAUACUGAAAACCAGGAUUUUAACUAAUUUAUGUGUAGUUUUGUUUUGUUUUAAUGGAUUGG